rnacentral:rRNA from 1 species
GUGGGGAAUUUUGGACAAUGGGCGAAAGCCUGAUCCAGCAAUGCCGCGUGCAGGAUGAAGGCCCUCGGGUUGUAAACUGCUUUUGUACGGAACGAAAAGCCUGGGGCUAAUAUCCCCGGGUCAUGACGGUACCGUAAGAAUAAGCACCGGCUAACUACGUGCCAGCGGCCGCGGUAAUACGUAGGGUGCAAGCGUUAAUCGGAAUUACUGGGCGUAACGCGUGCGCAGGCGGUUUUGUAAGACAGUGGUGAAAUCCCCGGGCUCAACCUGGGAAUUGCGCUUGUGACUGCAGUGCUGGAGUGCGGCAGAGGGGGAUGGAAUUCCGCGUGUAGCAGUGAAAUGCGUAGAUAUGCGGAGGAACACCGAUGGCGAAGGCAAUCCCCUGUGCCUGCACUGACGCUCAUGCACGAAAGCGUGGGGAGCAAACAGGAUUAGAAACCCCGGUAGUCC